UACGAAGGGGGCUAGCGUUGUUCGGAAUUACUGGGCGUAAAGCGCGCGCAGGCGGUUCUUCAAGUCAGAGGUGAAAGCCCAGAGCUCAACUCUGGAAUGGCCUUUGAGACUAGAGAACUAGGGUACGGGAGAGGAAGGCGGAAUGCUUGGUGUAGAGGUGAAAUUCGUAGAUAUCAAGCGGAACACCGGUGGCGAAGGCGGCCUUCUGGACAAUGACUGACGCUAAAACGCGAAAGCGUGGGGAGCAAACAGG
rnacentral:rRNA from 1 species